rnacentral:rRNA from 1 species
AGAGAUAGGACUGUGCCUUCGGGAACUGUGAGACAGGUGCUGCAUGGCUGUCGUCAGCUCGUGUUGUGAAAUGUUGGGUUAAGUCCCGCAACGAGCGCAACCCUUAUCCUUAUUUGCCAGCGAUUCGGUCGGGAACUCUAAGGAGACUGCCGGUGAUAAACCGGAGGAAGGUGGGGACGACGUCAAGUCAUCAUGGCCCUUACGGGAUGGGCUACACACGUGCUACAAUGGUAUGUACAGAGGGAAGCGAACUUGCGAGAGUAAGCGGAGCCCUUAAAGCAUAUCGUAGUCCGGAUUGGAGUCUGCAACUCGACUCCACGAAGUCGGAAUCGCUAGUAAUCGCGGAUCAGAAUGCCGCGGUGAAUACGUUCCCGGGCCUUGUACACACCGCCCGUCACACCAUGGGAGUGGGUUGCUCCAGAAGUGGCUAGUCUAACCUUCGGGAGGACGGUCACCACGGAGUGAUUCAUGACUGGGGUGAAGUCGUAACAAGGUAGCA